rnacentral:rRNA from 1 species
UACGAAGGGGGCUAGCGUUGUUCGGAAUUACUGGGCGUAAAGCGCGCGCAGGCGGUCUUCCAAGUCAGUGGUGAAAGCCCGGAGCUCAACUCCGGAACUGCCAUUGAAACUGUUAGACUUGAGGAUGAGAGAGGUGAGUGGAAUUCCCAGUGUAGAGGUGAAAUGCGUAGAUAUCUGGAGGAACACCGGUGGCGAAGGCGGCAUCCUGGACCGAUACUGACGCUGAGGAGCGAAAGCCAGGGGAGCAAACGGG